UAUGUUAUUGUCUGUUUGUUUCCAAGCAUGCUGGUUCCUCUCCCUGUGCUUGGAAACAAUGCAAUUGGAAAGACUGUUUCAGAGGACAUUUGAUGACUGAAAUGCAGUGCUAGGCAUGGGAUUAGCUAUUACAUCACUUAACCAGUUAACAUGUCUCAGUAUUGGUUUAAGAGUUCUGAACCCAGUCUGUUUCUUACGCUUUUACUGUUAGGUGUUGGGGAGUGGCAUUAUUGAUAUGUUUCGUGGUCUGCCUGUAAGAUACUGCUCUUCAAGAGAAAAUGGAUUUUCCCCCCUUUUAUUUAUCCCAAAUGUCUGUGUGCAAGUGUAAUCCUGGCAUAUUAAUGAUCAUGCCUUGCUUUCUCAAAGCUGAGAUCAUUAUGUGGUACUCAGUAGCUAUGAAACAUGGCAGUAUAGUAGACAUCUACAUCAUUUCUGAAUGAUAUAUUUGCUUGCGUGAUUCCUUAACCAACUUUCUGUCCACUACAAUUCCUGCAAUUAUCUUAGAAGCACAAUACAUAAAAAUUUGGAGAAAAUGUAAUGAGUGUUAGGCAGAGGACAAAAUAUUGUGUUGCCCACUCUAUUGUGAUUUUGGUAAGAGCUUGAAUAUAAUUUGGAUCUCAUAAUAUGGAUCAUCUGAUGCUAAGGAAGGACUGUUGAAGUAGAGUAAUGUCAUCUUUCAUCUGCUAAGCACUGCUUGUAUAGCACGCCUGCACACGCUGCAAUUGCAAUCCUGCUUUGGUAGUGGGGAGUGCCGGUGAUGGUUGUGGCCACAAUUUGAGUUUCUGGAUAGGAAGCUGAGGCUUAUGACAAGUUAAUGGUUUGCUAUGAAGUGUAGCCUGUGUCUAGGCUUGGAACUGGCAGCACUCAAGGUGUGCCAUGAGACAAGGAAAUCUGACGGGUAUAGUUUAUCUUGGGCGCUAAAACUCUUAAUGGCAUGUGGCCUGUUCUGUAGUUCAUAUGACUGCUGGAGGCGAAAGCUGAUACUGUUCUAUGCUCACCCUCUCAAAAGAAUUGCGGAAAAUACUGCAUAAGCGGAUGCAGAUUUAUAGUCCACACAAGA